GAGUUCCGCGAGUUCGGAACUGUUGUUGACAGAAGGCUCGUGUGUAAAAUAUGAUGGAAAAUCGAAGAGUUUUAUCGAUCAUUUUUGAUCUGGAUAACACGCUGAUCGAUACAGCCGGCGCAGGAAGAGUGGCCAUUCAGAAGGUGUGUGAGGUGCUGAAGUCUACAUCUGUGCCAGAAAGCCACAUCACAGACAUCUGUGAGCUUUUCUUACAAAAGCUUUUCCAUGGAACAUUCGACCCAUCAGAAGGCAGAACGAUCAAUGAAGUGAGGAUCCAUCAAUGGUAUGAAGCCCUACAGGAGGUGCUGGGCACAGAUCCUGAUCUAGCCAUGGCCUCCAGCUGUUACUACACAUGGAAGAACACACGUCUACAGGCGCUGACUCUGUCUCCUGAGAUUCGAUCUCUGCUGGAGGAACUUAAGAAGAACUACAAAUUGCUGCUGCUCACCAACGGCGAUGCUCAGACCCAGCGGGACAAGAUCGAGGCAACGAGAUGUGAAGGCCUCUUUAGUGCGGUGGUAGUGGGUGGAGAGCACCCUGAGCAAAAGCCGGCACUCUCUAUCUUCAGUCACUGUUUUGAGUCGCUGGGAGUCCAACCGCACGACUGCAUCAUGGUGGGUGAUUCUCUCAGUACAGAUAUCCAGGGGGGCAUUAAUGCAGGAGUGAAGGCAACCGUGUGGAUCAACAGUGAUGGUAAAUCUCUCCCACCAGGCUCUGUGACUCCAGACUACACUCUACCUAGUGUACUAAAUCUGACUGAUGUUCUAGCUCAACUGACAUGAUGUCAGCUUAUGAGGACAUGAAGAUGAACGUGGUACCUUCAGGCGUUUGGAAAUUGCUCCCAAGGAUGAACCAGACUUGUGGAGGUUCACAAUUUCUUUCUGAGGUCUUGGAUGAUUUCUUUUCAAGCAAAGAGGCACUGAGUUCGAAGAAUCACAGUCCAAUACAAAGCUACCUGCCAUCAUUUGGUGUAAGAAACACAUAUUUUGUGCCAACAGUAAUAGUACCGAAAAGGUCAGAAUGUUACUUAAAAGACAAUUAACCAAAAAUAUUUCAAAUUAGAGCACACAUCAAAGUAAUAACAGAACUGCUUUAAUAAUUAAUAUUACUGAAUAGGAUUCUCUAUAAAAUAGCAUUUAUUUUAGCUGUCAGGAUUAAUGAUCAUAACAUAUUUUAAAGAAUGAAUCUUUCAAUUUAGUCAAUGUUCAUUUCAUGCUAGUUUAACAAUUGCCCCCAACCUAACAGACAAGAUAAAAUCGUGAAGCUUACACGUGAGUGUCAUCGACUUUAAACCAACCUAAAUAAGUUGCUAUAAAAAUGUACAUUCAAAAGGCCUAACAAAUUCAGACAGCAGAAGAAAAAUAUCUUUUUUAUACCUUACAUUUUUUCUUUUUCUACAAAUUGAUUGCACAAUCUUUUCAGGCAGAUUAAGAACAUUAUUGUGCAUAUACAGAAUAAUUGUCAUUACUCCAGCUUGUGAUUGAGGACAUUUAGAGCAUUACAACUGCCCUCCGUCUCCUCUACUGUAUGAAAUCUGUUAAUUUAAAACAGUCCACAUAGUAAAAUUAUUCACAGAGAAAACAGCAGCAAAUAAUACAAAAUAGCACUCUUUAUGUUGUUUUGGAUAUAUGCAUCUGCUAAAUGAAUAAAUGGAACCAUUUAUAACCAUCACUUGAAUCCAGACAUUUCAGGGUGAGACAUGUGAACACUCAUGUGAAAAAAUAUUAUACAUUGAGGCACUUUAUUUACCAUGCAGGCAAAGCAACUGAACGCAGUCAAAUAAUAUUAC